rnacentral:Y_RNA from 1 species
GGCUGGUCUGAGUGCAGUGGUGUUUACAACUAAUUGAUCACAACCAGUUACAGAUUCCUUUGUUCCUUCUCCACUCCCACUGCUUCACUUGACCAGCCUUAA